GCAGUAGCCGCGGGAAUACAGAGGAUGCAAGCGUUAUCCGGAAUGAUUGGGCGUAAAGCGCGCGCAGGCGGAUAGGUCAGUCUGUCUUAAAAGUUCGGGGCUUAACCCCGUGAUGGGAUGGAAACUGCCAAUCUAGAGUAUCGGAGAGGAAAGUGGAAUUCCUAGUGUAGCGGUGAAAUGCGUAGAGAUUAGGAGGAACACCAGUGGCGAAGGCGGCUUUUUGGCCUGUAACUGACACUGAGGCGCGAAAGCGUGGGGAGCAAACAGGAUUAGAUACCCCAGUAGUCCCUGUCUCUUAUACA
rnacentral:rRNA from 1 species